AAGGAGCUUACAAUCUAGCUGGGGGUGAGAGACCUGCACAGGAUCUCAACUAGACUGGGAGCUUCUAGA
rnacentral:pre_miRNA from 1 species